GCAGCUUCUAUCUCAUCCCUUCAAAACACUCUCUUCUUUUGGUCCUUCAUGGCUAAAUCAGCUUUAUCUCCAUCCAAAGCUGCACCUUCAUGACUUUGUUUCUUUUGUGUGCAUUUACAUUUUAACAUUGAUUUGAUACAUUCACUCUCCACUUUAUUGUUCAUCACAUAUUCACUAUUUUUUUUUUCUUAUCUUUCUCUUCUUUUCAUAUUAGAAUAUUCAUCACAUCAUUCACUUCUAUUCCUCUCUCUCUCUCUCUCUCUCUCUCUCUCUCUCUCUAUCUCUCUCACCGAGUGUAGGGUGGAAAAUUUCACGGUGUGGUUCCUCUGCCUCUUCUCAAUCGUUGCUGAAAUUGAAGAAACAUGACUAAGAAUUCAGUUGAUAAUCUUCAAGAUUAUGGUGCAUAGGGAAGAAAGUUUAGAAGAACGUACACACAACCGCAGAAUGUUCUUUUUCUUGUAGUACGUGGUACUGGCCAGAGUUCAUAGUUCAAUUGUUCAAUACUUUCUUCAUUCUUCAACAUGGUUGGCGCUGGUCAUAGGGAAGAAACUUUAGAAGGCAUGAGGGGCAAUUCCCAUGCAACACCAAUGCCAUUAUAACCUUGUGGUGUUGAUGAAGUUACAGGAUCCUGUGCAAGGUCAUCAUGAUGCUCCGAUUGCAGGUGGCGCUGGGCAGAGAAAGCAUCCUCAUUGAUCAGAGAAUUGAGGAAGGAAGAAAAGAUAUCAUCAGAACAAUAAUUGAUAUCAUUGUAGUCCUGGUUGUUGUUGUUGUUGGCAAGUAGAUGACCCAUGGAAGGAACAUCAUCAUCAGGAAUAUCAUUAGCUACCAUAUAUGCAGCAGCAGCUACUGCUUGAGGUUGUUGAUAUUGAUAUUGACCCUCAUCACAUUCUUGGUUGACACUAGCAAUAUUGAGAUGAUGAUGAGUAGUAGUUUCAUGAAGUGUUUGGUGAUUUGUGAUCACAGGAAGAGGCUUGGAAGGUGGUGGUGGUGGUGGAGUAGUGGAAGAAGAGGGAAUAGAUAGUUCUGGGUUGAGAGGCUUGUGGGUUCUUGGAUCAAUCCCUUGGCUGAUAAGCUUCUUGCUGAGAUGGGUGUUCCAGAAGUUCUUUAUCUCAUUAUCAGUUCUUCCCGGAAUUCUUCCCGCUAUCAAAGACCACCUGUAACAUCAGAAUCAUCAGAAUUAAUUUUAACACCCAGAAGCUAUUUAAGAAAGCUUCUUGCUAGAAUUAAUGUUAGUUUCAAAAUGAAUUGUUGUACUAUAUCCUAAACAUGAUUGAUGAAAUGGUAAUUAAAUAAAGUGUAAUUAAAUCAAGCCCUAGCUAUAUAUAUAUAUGUUUAUUUAAAAUUAA